rnacentral:rRNA from 1 species
GUAGGGAAUAUUGGGCAAUGGUCGGAAGACUGACCCAGCCAUGCCGCGUGCAGGAAGACGGCCCUCUGGGUUGUAAACUGCUUUUAUCUGGGAAGAAAAAGGCCAUGCGUGGCAAAUUGCCGGUACCAGAUGAAUAAGCACCGGCUAACUCCGUGCCAGCAGCCGCGGUAAUACGGAGGGUGCGAGCGCUGUCCGGAUUUAUUGGGUUUAAAGGGUGCGUAGGCGGCUGAUUAAGUCAGCGGUGAAAGACUUCGGCUUAACCGGAGCAGUGCCGUUGAUACUGGUUGGCUUGAGUGUCGGAGGGGUACAUGGAAUUGAUGGUGUAGCGGUGAAAUGCAUAGAUACCAUCAGGAACACCGAUAGCGAAGGCAUUGUACUGGCCGACAACUGACGCUGAUGCACGAAAGUGUGGGGAUCGAACAGGAUUAGAAACCCUGGUAGUCC